rnacentral:lncRNA from 1 species
GAAGUGGAGGAGCAGCCUCUGAGCCUGGGGUAUCUGGGCCCUGAAAUCUGUAUUUUUCCUACUCCCUAUGAAGCUCAAGAAGUAUUUGAAAAAUGGGCCAGAAAGGGAGUUCCCUUUGUGGCUCAACAGUAAUGAACCCAAUUAGUAUCCAUGAGGAAGUGGUUUUGAUCCCUGGCCUUGCUCAGUGGGUUGGGGAUCUGGUGCGUUACCAUAAGCUGUGAUGUAGGUUGCAGAUGUGGCUCAGAUCUGGCGUGGCUGUGGCUGUGGCGUAGACCAACAGAUACAGCUCUGAUUUGAUCCCUAGCCUGGAAACCUCCAUAGGCUGCAGGUGCAGCCCUAAAAAAAAAGGCAGGAAAGACUUGGGUUCAAGUCCAACAUUUAUGACCAUGAGGCAGUUGCUUAUCUUCUCUGAGCAAAGAGUAGGUACCCAGGGAAUAUUUCUUUCCCGCUCUUUCCAACCUCCCCUGACACCCUGUGUUUCCACAGGAACCGUUGUCCUGUUGGUGACGCAGGUGGCUCUGGGAUCCUCUCCUGGUCCUUCCCAGUGGGGCAGAGAACCCCGGGCUGAGGCUGAUGUGGGGAGGCCCUGAGCCUGCAGGGAGCCCAGACAGCCGCUCCAACAGCCCUUCAGCCGGCAUGAUGAACAUCUCAGGAUGGCUUUUCUAGCACCCAGCACGGGAGGGGGGCUGUUAGAACUAUUUAUAUCCUGCCUGCCUGCCGACUGACAGCUUAAUCUCAGCGCCUCCUCCCUCUGACUUUUAUUUGUCAACCCCAUUUGCACCCCCUCCCAAGUACCACACAGCGUGACUCUUGGUGGUUUGGCUAGACAGCCAGACUCUCCCAGUUAAGACUGGAGAUUGACAAGAAGCCCCCAGGGGCUCACCGUAGCUGCUCCCCUGCAGGUGAGCUUCCAUCUCUGGUGGCCAAAAGAGCCUGGCUGGAAGGUUCUAGGCAGCCCAGGGAUCUGCAGCUGGGCCUGUGCCUGGAGCACCUGCGGCCUGGACUUGGCCUGAGUGUCUAAUGGCCGGGCAGCAGCUCAAUAACUGAACAGACUGGCAGGUACCGUCCACCGGGCUAUCAAUCAACCACUUUAAUUCUCAUCAGGGACACGUUUGGCCAGAGGCUGCUGGCUCCAGUGGGAAUGGGAUGAGUGGUCAAAGAGCAAAGCUGGUUAAAUGGUGUCCUGCUCUGAGGCCUGGAAGUGCCUGUUUACAGGGGCCUUGGUCACCUGGUGGCCCGUUCCCAUUAAGGACAGAAGACCAUGAGGGGAGAUAUUUAAUACUGAGGCUCUGGCCCUGAUGUCAUUCAAGCCAGCUGUAAAGAGAUGGGAAAUCCAGACUGAAAGACUGAUAUGUUCCUUCUUUCAUUCAUUCGUUCACCUGCUGAAACAUUCUGAAAUCUUUGCAUGGCAGGCUCCUCAAUAUUCAGCUCGUGGCCCGAAGGUCACCUCCCCUGACUGCCCUUUCUAAUGAAGUCCCUCGCUUUCCUGCCACCAGAUGCUAUGACAUCUUUGUGUUUCAUUUCCGUCCCUGUGCUUUCCAUUGGUUGAAGUUCUCUGGUUUAUUUACUUGUUUGCUGGUUUGUUGCCACGCCCACCGGAAGUAAAAUCCUUAAGUGGAGGGAUCUUGCUUCCUGUCCACUGCUGUGUCCCCAAGUGGAUGACUCUAUGGCGGGUCCAAGGUGGAACCUCAUCCAUCCAACAGCUGCCCAGAACCCCAAGUUGUCAGGCCAGCGCUGAGGCUCAGUCAUGGCCUGGCUGCUGCUCACAGCAAAGUCUGGCAAUGGGGUAAAAGCCUUGUAUGAACCAUGUGUUUCUGAUGCUUAGACAUCCGGGGACUUGUUGGCCCUGGAGAAGCUGCCCCCUCCCCUGCAGCCCAGGGCUAGCUAAUCCCUUGAGAGUGAACAACUUGCCUUGAACCCACUUUUCUUAUGCAAACCAGUCAGAGACAUAGCUCAGCCACCUCCUUUAUCUAUCAGCUGGCUUCUCGCACUCUAGCCACUCUCCACCAGGCCAGGUACCAUACAACUAGCGACAGACCCUAGGCUCCGGAGCAAGCUGAAAUUGUCCAAGCUGGCCUGCUCACCCUGCCUCACCCUUUCUUCCCCAGAAACGACCGUACAAUCUCUUGCCCAUAUUUUCCUCUCCCUCCUUCUGCCUCCGGACCGACCCUCGUGCUUCCCCACGUGGUCCCCGUGGCAUGGCGGCCCCCUUCCUCUUGGGAUCUAGAGUAACGAGCUCUUCUCGAUGGCCAUCAUUGCCUGAUCUGUUGGCCUCCCCAUACCUGAAUAAUAAUAAAACCUAUAUUUUAAGACAAGCAAUGAGGAUGAAGGCAGGCCCAAGGGGAAUGGAGGAAGGGCACGCAAUCCACACCUGACAUACAGCAUCCACAGGGGCUGGUAGUAGAAUAAUAUCAGCUGGAAGGGAGCGGGGAGCAUUGGUGGGUGCCUACUAAGCAAAGGGCAUCACUUGGCAGCCAAGGAGGGGAUAGAGCGUUCUGGUAACUCAGAUGGACCUGUAUGGCCGGAGCAGGAGGACCUAUAGGACAAGAAGCUGGAGCAGGAGGGGGUCAAGUCUCGGAGGACUUGGGAUGAAGCUGGGUUUUGUUCAGGGAAGGCAACAGGCACACAGGGAGCUGAAAAUGGAGCCCAUCAGAUGCAGGGUCCCUGGGUGCUUCUCGUUGGAGCUGGAGUCCAUGGGCGGGAUGAGGUGCGUCACAGCCCCUGGUCCCCAGAUCCAGUCCUGGCCCACAUCAGCCCUCAGCACCCCCACUCCACCCUGCUCUUUGCUGAGUCACAGAAACAACUGCUCUUCCUGCUGGGGCCCUCGGGGCUGAGUCACACCUCCCCAUAUGCUUCCAUCUCCCACUCUCCGCACCUCCAGCUCCCCAGGGUGGGGGCUGAUGAGCCUGAUUCAAUAGCUGGAGGAAUCAUCCCAGCAGGUGGCACCUUGGGAAUUCUGGCUCCAGGACCAAUUUCCAGAGAGAAAACUGAGGUGGGUUUGAAGUGAGGAGCAGGUUCAUGCAGGAAGAGUGACAGCUAUGGUCACCCACCUUUCUCAUCAUCCACCCUUCUCUCCUGCAGUCUCCUUAUGGUGCUGGCCCAGGAACUAAGACAAAGAUAGGGGCCCUUUCACCUGGGUCUGGAGGGGGCACAGAGCACUUGGAAGGGGGGCCAGCACCAAAGGAGAACCCAUGGCUGAAUGACUUCAAGCCAAGGUCAGGGCGGGAGCAGAACUGGAUCUAACCCUUGACUGUCUCCAACCUUGGCCUGGAAGGAAAUAACACAGUCUCUCUGGAGAGAUUGCCUGUAGCUGCCAGCAAUUAUUGGGCAUUUGCCCAAUUCCUUCCUUCUUUCUUUCCUUCCUUCCCUCAUUCAACCAAUAUUUUUCUACUACUAUAAGUUAGUCAUGUUCUAGGUACAGUCAUAUAGUGGUGCAUGAAACAUCUGGAACCUCUGUCAUCUGCGAGUUUAUAUUCUAUCUAGGGAGACAGCCAGUCAGCAAUCAAGGAAAUAAAUAUAACGUCUAGAAGCAACAACUGUUAGGGAGAAAAAUGAGGGGAAGUGUUGGGCGAACCAGAAGAAAGGGCUCAGAGAGGGCUGAGUUAGAUCUCACAGGGCAUACAGUAUAUCUUUCCCUUUGAUCCAUUAGCUGCUGGGAGGAAAGGCCAGGUGCCAUGGCAGAUAAAGAAGAUGAACUGAGAGUCAGUGUCCCCUCCUUAGGGAAUGAAUGGCCUGGCCCAGAGGGAGGUUCUUCUCAAAUAUAACAGUCAUCAUCUGAUGGGAACAUAUUAUGUGGCUCAUUGCAUUUAAUCCCUAGAGUCACUUUUGAUGUCAAUAUGAUUAUUUCCCCAUUUUCUGCAUGAGUAAACUGAGGCUUGGAGCAAUCAGCUCUCUUGUUCAGGGUCACAGUGGGUGCAGAGUGAGAUACAGCGAUCUGGUAUCUAACAGUCUAACAGAUGGGGCAAAGGGCUUGACCACAGUGUCACAGCUAUAGUGCAAAACAGAGAAGCACGUACUCUUAGAGAAAGGCCAAGCACAGCCAUCAUUCAGAGGACAGAGGGAUCCAGAAAGGUUGUGUGACCAAGAGUCCUUACAGUUGGGAAGGACUUUGAUAGGCAGUGAUGGAGCAAAGGUAUUCCAAGAAGAAGCACAGCAUGAGCCAAGGAGCAGAGGCUGGAAGAGCAAGACAUGGUGUGCUGUAGGGAGGAGUGUGAGACAGGCUGGUAUCGCAGGUGAGGGUCAUUCUGGGGGUGACCUCGACCGUGGGAUACACCGUGACUCUUAAGCCAGUUGGCAAUGGGAGCCACUGAAGGGGUCUGAGCAGAGGACUGAUUCCAAGUGGGGGCAGGAGCUUAUAUUGGAGCUGAUCGGCCAAAUGGUAGAAGAAAGGCAAGCAACAGGCUUAAGAGAGGCAGGCCACCCUGCCAGAGCUGGCAGAGCACAUGGCUAAAGACACGAGCCCUGGGGAGGUCCCACUGUGGUGCAGGGGAAGCAAAUCUAGCUAGUAUCCAGUCCCAGGCCUCACUCGGUGGGUUAAGGAUCUGGCAUUGCCAUGAGAUGUGGUGUGGGUCGCAGACAUGGUUCAAAUCCUACGUUGUUGUGGCUGUAGUUUAGGCUGCCACAACUCCAUUUCAACCCCUAGCCUUGGAACUUGCAUAUACUGCUGGUUGGGCCCUAAAAAGAGAAAAAACAAACAAACAACAACGACAAAAAAAAAACAAAGACAUGGGCCCUGGACCUGGACUGCUUAGAUUUGGUUCCAGCUCUAGUGGGCACUGUUGGUUCCCUGCCCUGCUCCCUUGGCCCUA